AGCUGCAAGGGCCGGUCUCAGGGGUGCACUCGAGUGGAUUGAGAAGGGGUGUAGACAAUUGCAGGCAGGUUUGGGCGGUAUUUGCUGAUAGGAAGACAAAAGACAAUAAUUUGUUUCCGGGUGUCCAAAAGUUGUGCAAAAAGGGGGAAAAAAAUCUUAGCACAUUCCCAAGCUCACCUCUGAAUAGUGUUGGUUUUCUUGUUUUAGAGACUGUUUUAGGUUCACAGCAAAACUGAGUGAAAGUACAGAGGUUUCCCGCGUGCCCGCUGCCCCCACACGCACGGCCUCCCCGUCGUCCACAUCACUGACCGGAAUGGUGUAGGUCGCACAAGGAUGAGCCUACACGGACACGCCGUCAUCACCCAAAGUCCGUGGUUCACCCCCGGGUCACUCUGGGCGCCGUGCGCUCUGCGGGCGUGGACAGACGCAUCGUGACGUGCGUCCAGCUUUAGAGCGUCACACGGAGUAGUCUCCCUGCCCUGAAGUCCCCCACUGCCCUCACCCCACCUCCCGCCACCCCAGCGACCACUGGUCUCCUUACGUCUCCGUCCCUGUGCCUUUUCCGGAAGGUCGCAGAGUUGGAAUCCCACAGCGUGUGGCCUUCUCAGAUGGGCUUCCUUCACCGAGUGACAAGCGUCUGGUUUCCUCCCUGUCUUCUCAGGGCUUGAGAGCUCAUGUCUUGUCAGCCCUGAAUCCUAUCCCAUCGUCUGGACGGACCACGGUGUAGUUGUCCAUCGCAGGCUGAAGGACGCCUUGGUCGCUUCCAAGUUUUAUCAACUGAUAUAAACAGCGUCGACGGCCAAUGGCAGCACUCCCAGGCCCUGCAUGUGUGCACAGGACGGCCCUCUGGCUUCCUGAGCUGCGGGGAUUUAUGCAAGCGCGUAAUGGGGAUUGUUAAUCACCGCAGAUAAUAAAACUGCAUCUUCCUGCGGGGCACGGGCAGAGUGUGUCAACCCGAGAUGCUGCAGCUGACGCCUCGUGGCCAGGAGCGUCCCGUCAGAAAGCCAAGGUCCAUGCACCACGCAUCCCGCACACAUCAUAAAGAUAUAGUAAUGGUGAGGUUCCCAUGAUUUGAAAUGAACCAUUGUGGAGUGAACGACUGAGUGGCGUUUAGCGCCUUCACGGUGGUGUCAACCGCGGUGUGUCGCGCCUACACACUUUCAUCACCCGGAAGGAGCCCCGCGCCCCAUGAGCAGCUGCUGCCCGUCCUCCGGCCCCAACUGGCCUGCUCUGGACGCUGCCGGUAGAUGGAGUCCCACGUGUGGCCUUGGCUCUGGCUUCUCACCCUGGGCAGCACGUGUCUGAGGCUCGUCCACGGGGUGACCGUGCCGCGUCCCCUCUUGCAGCCGAGGCGCGCUCCAGGGUGUGCGUGGCGCACCGUGAUUCCGGCCGGGGCUGCUGUAGGGCUCGGACGCGUGGAGCCCAGAGCCUGCUCUCAACCCUUCUGCGUAUUUUGCUCCAGAGGGAGACACAUUUCCUUCCCAGUCCUCGGAGCUCCCGACUAGCCGCCGCUGCGGUGGAGCUUGGCCUGGCGGCCCGCGGUUCAUGCAGCGGCACACUUGAUGGGAAGCGUUCGGUUUGAAGCCCUUUGGACCCUUCCCUCUCCUCGCCGCUCCUUCCCCCUCCCGCCACGCAGCCCGCUCUGGUGACCGGGGUCUCUUGCAGCGCCCUUGAGCCUACCAUGUGCAGCCUCCCGGCCAGAGUGAUGUGUGCGAGGGCCGUCCACCCGCGGCGGUCCCUCCCUCUCGCACGACCACUCCCCGCGCUGUGCCUUCCACGUCCUUUGGGAGCAGCAUGUCUUGGCCUCUGCACCCCACGUGACAUGCAAUGACUAAUACAUUUGAAAUGACAGCAAGUAGCCAUUCACACCUUUCUGUUCUGCCAGAAAGGAUGGCCCGGGAGGGCAGAAACCGUGGCUGGCCUGCUGCCCUGGUGGCAGGGGGGCAGGAGUGAGCUGGGGGCCUUGCUGGUGCUGCCCGCUGGACUCUCCGUGCCCGGAUCGGAGCCCACCGCCCUGAGGGACACCCCGCCCGGCCCCAGCACCUGUGCAGAGCACCAGGGAGGCAGCCAGGUGUCUACCUCCAAAGAAAGCCCCAGCCAGUGGGAUUGUGAGUGGACACUUCAGGGUCUGUGAGGACAUGCAGGACAGUGUCCCCACCCCAAGACAGGGGCUGGAGGCCAGUGCAUGGAGAGCCCCUCCAAAUCUUCAGUAAUGCCUCCCACAGGGAGAAAGAGCUCCUCCCUGGCCUUUUGCUUUAGGGUGGCGGUGGGCGGAUGCCUUCCUCCCUACCUGACACAGGUGGGUCACUAGGUGGCCCGGGGCAUGGCUCCCUGACUGUGAGCAGUGGUGAGAGCCCCAGAGCGGAGGCUGGGAGGCUGCAGACGGGCCCUGGGACCCUCCCUUGCCCAGGGAGGUGUGGCCCCGGGGCUGAGGCCUGUGUGGUCCGUUACGUCCCAUGUUGCUUUCCCAAACACGCACAGUUACAUAAACGAUGAUAACACUUCAUAAACAUUUUUCUAACAUGCGGAAUGUUUGACAUGAAUUUCAGCUAUUUUAGAACUAAUAAACAAUUGUCAAUGUCACGGUCGACAUGGAGCAGAA